AUCAUCAGAGACUUAAAUACUAAUAAU
rnacentral:snRNA from 1 species